rnacentral:rRNA from 1 species
UCUUCGGCAAUGGACGAAAGUCUGACCGAGCAACGCCGCGCGAGUGAAGAAGGUUUUCGGAUCGUAAAGCUCUGUUGCUGGUGAAGAAGGAUAGAGGUAGUAACUGGCCUUUAUUUGACGGUAAUCAACCAGAAAGUCACGGCUCACUACGUGCCAUCCGCCGCGGUAAUACGUAGGUGGCAAGCGUUGUCCGGAUUUAUUGGGCGUAAAGCGAGCGCAGGCGGAAGAAUAAGUCUGAUGUGAAAGCCCUCGGCUUAACCGAGGAAUUGCAUCGGAAACUGUUUUUCUUGAGUGCAGAAGAGGAGAGUGGAACUCCAUGUGUAGCGGUGGAAUGCGUAGAUAUAUGGAAGAACACCAGUGGCGAAGGCGGCUCUCUGGUCUGCAACUGACGCUGAGGCUCGAAAGCAUGGGUAGCGAACAG